rnacentral:lncRNA from 1 species
CAAACCUUCAUUUUCUCUCUCUUUUUUUUUUUUUACUUUCAUAAACUCUAAAUCUUAUUUUUUUUACUUUCCCCAAACCCUCAUUUUUUUACUCUCGACGGAAAUCUUUCCCCAAACCCUCGUUUUCUCAUCUGACCAGAAGUUCUUCUAUAACCGGAGACAGCGCCAUCGAUCUAUGACUGGAAGUUCUUCCCUUGCGUGCAUCUGAAGGUGGGAAUCGCCCUCUGUACGGAAAUUCUUCUCUCGACCUCAUUCACUGCAGGUAUUCAGAUAGAUACUCCAACUUUUUUUUCUUUAUCCCUUUAGGUUUCAUUCUGAUCUGGGAUAGGUCUGAUCUGGAAUAGGUCUGAUCUGGAAUAUCCAUAUGGUUUGAUGACUUGAUCCACUAACAUAACUCAGUUAGUGCCAGCUGGAAUUGCCUUGUGCGUAUAACAACAUUUGAAGAAUAGGUGGGAAUCCGUCUCUUAUUCUCAGUUGCAAAUCAUGCAAGUAAUGUUCUGAAUAUUGGCGCCCCAUUGCUGCAAUUUAUUGAAUGCUGUGAUGAAAUGAAACCCCACCUAACCCUCUGUAGUAGCAGUGAAAAUUUAGUAGGCAUUUUCCCCUUGUUUUUGAGCAUUUCAAUGUAGGAAUUUGGUGGGCAGUUUCACCAGAGUGUUAUUGGUAAGGCAUUGUAGACAUUUUCUGAUUUUUACUGAAUUUGGUGGGAUCGGCCAUGAUAGCUUUCAACAUUGCAGAAUUAGUGGAUUGAUUGACCGUAAUGUCUUCAAUACAUUGGUUUUGUAAAUAUCUUUCUUUAACUCAAUUUUCUUUUACAGAUUAGUUUGCCCCCCCAAAAUUUUCCAGCUUUUUUGACUGAGUAUAUGUCACACAGCCUUUAUAUUGUUGUUAUAGGCAAAUAGGCUAAUUAAUACUCGCUUUCAACCGAAUGAUUCUUAACCAAACCAUUUGACCAAUAAUUCUAUUAUUUCUAUAUAAGUUUUUGGAUUCAAUUAAAUAAAAUGUUUAAAUUUUCAGUGUAC